UUCGGCGUGGUGCGGGACUUAACUUUUGCAUUCGUAAUGCGUAGGUCGGAGGUUCGAAUCCUCUCACCGGCACCA
rnacentral:tRNA from 1 species